UGAGUGGGCCUUAUGACCGCGCGCCUGGUCUAUUUUAGACCAAGUGUGAGGAAAGUCCGGACUCCAGAGGGCAGGAUGCCAGUUAACGACUGGGCGGGGCGACCUGACGGAAAGUGCCACAGAAAAGAAAACUCUGAGGAGCGUGGCUGUCGGCUUUUGCCGAUCAGAGCGUUUGAGCGCAUCUCAGAAAAGCUGAAACGGUGUGGUAAGAGCGCACCAGCGUUGCGGAGACGCGACGGCUUGGCAAACCCCAUCCGGAGCAAUGGCAAAUAGGAGAGUAAGCGGCCGGCCCGGUCGACUCUCGGGUUGCCAGCAAGAGGAUGUUGGCGACAACAUUCCCAGAUAAAUGGUCAUACGCGACAGAAUCCGGCUUACCGGCCCACUCAACUC
rnacentral:RNase_P_RNA from 1 species